CGAAGAACCUUACCAGGUCUUGACAUCCGAUGCUAUUCUAGAGAUUAGAAGUUACUUCGGUACAUCGGUGACAGGUGGUGCAUGGUUGUCGUCAGCUCGUGUCGUGAGAUGUUGGGUUAAGUCCCGCAACGAGCGCAACCCCUAUUGUUAGUUGCCAUCAUUCAGUUGGGCACUCUAGCGAGACUGCCGGUAAUAAACCGGAGGAAGGUGGGGAUGACGUCAAAUCAUCAUACCCCUCAUGACCUGGGCUACACACGUGCUACAAUGGUUGGUACAACGAGUUGCGAGUCGGUGACGGCGAGCUAAUCUCUUAAAGCCAAUCUCAGUUCGGAUUGUAGGCUGCAACUCGCCUACAUGAAGUCGGAAUCGCUAGUAAUCGCGGAUCAGCACGCCGCGGUGAAUACGUUCCCGGGCCUU
rnacentral:rRNA from 1 species